AACUGGAGGAGCUGACCUUUAAGGUUAAGAACCCUAGAUUAAUCGAUAAUUUUAGAAGGUGUAGUAAAUAUCAAAAUAAUAUGGACAAAGAGGAACAGUACAGGGGAAAUGCGCAAGGUGGUCAACAUGGCAAAGAAGGGAAGAGAAGAGGAGGGAUGAAGAAUGAGAAUCAGCAGAAGGGCGACCGAAAUAAUAGAAGGAAAAGAGACGAAAAUGUCCUACGAAAAAUGGUAAGAGAGUUGGAGUAGCGACAAUAAGGGAAAGCGAACAUAGAGGCUUUUAGGAGAACUGUAUACGGAGGGAUAUGACAGCCGAAGAAAAAUUACACAUUAACAACUAACGUGCGAAACAACAAUACUUUUUUCGUAACUCCUCACAACCAAUGACCCUUCCUAGAACAGAGUCGAUAGCAAUAGGAUCGAUAAAAUCGCUACAAAAAUACGUCACACACUCGAAAAUGUUGACACUCCGCGUAUGUCUCGUUUAAUCUCUUCAUGCGCACUGAGAUACGAAAGGAUGUAAUAGAUGUAAAUAGAUCUAAUGUAAACAUAUGAAAGAUAAAAUAAUGUAGACGUAAUAUAGAAAUUAAUAAAACAGUAACAAUGG